rnacentral:lncRNA from 1 species
GGGAUCUGCGAGGCUGAACAAAGAGACGCGGGGGUGCCGCGAGUAUUGUGGAAACCUGAGCUGAAGUAUCGUGAGACUUACAGCGUGAUAACGACACCAAAAGAACAGAGAGUUUUCCUUGUUUAACAACCACACAGAGCACCCUAUCAUCUGCUUGAACAGGACA